UUAAGCACUCCGCCUGGGGAGUACGACCGCAAGGUUGAAACUCAAAGGAAUUGACGGGGGCCCGCACAAGCGGUGGAGCAUGUGGUUUAAUUCGAAGCAACGCGAAGAACCUUACCAGGUCUUGACAUCCUUUGACCACUCUGGAGACAGAGCUUUCCCUUCGGGGACAAAGUGACAGGUGGUGCAUGGUUGUCGUCAGCUCGUGUCGUGAGAUGUUGGGUUAAGUCCCGCAACGAGCGCAACCCUUGAUUUUAGUUGCCAGCAUUUAGUUGGGCACUCUAAAGUGACUGCCGGUGCAAGCCGGAGGAAGGUGGGGAUGACGUCAAAUCAUCAUGCCCCUUAUGACCUGGGCUACACACGUGCUACAAUGGAUAGUACAAAGGGUCGCGAAGCCGCGAGGUGGAGCUAAUCCCAUAAAACUAUUCUCAGUUCGGAUUGUAGGCUGCAACUCGCCUACAUGAAGCCGGAAUCGCUAGUAAUCGUGGAUCAGCAUGCCACGGUGAAUACGUUCCCGGGCCUUGUACACACCGCCCGUCACACCACGAGAGUUUGUAACACCCGAAGUCGGUAGGGUAACCUUUAUGGAGCCAGCCGCCGAAGGUGGGACAGAUAAUUGGGGUGAAGUCGUAACAAGGUAGCCGUAUCGGAAGGUGCGGCUGGAUCACCUCCUUU
rnacentral:rRNA from 1 species